UCGAGAACAAGUUUUUUAUCUAGUUUUAUUCCGCAGACACUGUGUUCUAGACCUUUUGUAAUCCGGAUUUCUCUUUAUCUAUUCAGUAUUCAGCAUUCAGUAUUUGUUCUUGAUUUCGUUUACUGUUGUUCAUCCUGUUAUCGUUUUGCUAUUA
rnacentral:sRNA from 1 species